CCCUAGCCCUGAUAGAAGCGGCAUCCUUUUUCUGGCUUCUUUAGCCAGGAAAAGAUAUAGCGGAUAGCAGGAAAUAGC
rnacentral:sRNA from 1 species